ACAUUUUAAGGAAUACAUUUUCAUUAUCUGUGGAUUAUUUUCACUUGUCCUUUUCUUAAUUUAUUUCACUCAAGUCCAUGACAGGAGAGGUCGAUCAGGACAGAAAAGAUGGCAAAGGGUGGAGAAGUCUGGAGACCUGCGUGGCUGCAUCUGCCCGAUGUCAUCUGAGGAACUGGAAGGUGAUGCUGCUUGUGUUUGUAUGUUUUCUGGGUCUUGUUGAUGGACAUUUCCUUCAGGAGGAGAAUGCAGAACCCCGUCCUAGCAAACUGAGAGCCUCUUCAACCGCUCCAGAACCACAGAAAGAGUGGCAGAGCAGAGCACCAUGGGCACGACAUCAUGGUCAGUAUAUACCUGACACUGUAUAGCAAACCGGGG
ensembl:lncRNA